CGAGAAGCUUCACCUGAUUGUGUGUGUGUGUUGUGUGUGUAUGUGUGUGUGCAUUCACUUAUGAGUCUUUUGAAAAUGCACAUUUGUACUGCUGGGUUCAGAUUUUCUUCUGCGGAACAUUCUAGAAAACAGAUUCCUGUCCUGUGCAACGCGAAUGUACAAACCAGACACUCUCUCUUUUAAAAACAUCAUUAUUUCAAACAAGCUGAGAAGUCGCAUCUGAAUCCAAGCAACACAGAAAUCUAAGGGCACCACCCGCCGGCAAAUGUCAGCUCUUCAUAUGAAAUGGCAAAGAGCUGGAGAAAUUUAUAGAUCCCUCCGUAGGGGACCGGCUAAUGACAGCCACAGGGCAGUGGCUGUCACACAGCAUCGGCCGCAAUGUCUGGGAAAACCCAAAAUAUACCAACCAUGUGGUCUGUCCGGUGCACCUUUCCAGGUGCUCUGAUUCUCGGGGGACUCUGAGUCUUUGAGCUCUUUACCCUUCUGUAGAUUGGAAAUGACAGAGCGAGGCAAAUAGUCCUUGUCCACAGCCAUGCAAGGAACUUUUGUCUGCUGGAGAUUCAGUGAAUUUCCCUCUUCCCCUGGGGGAAAAGCCAGUUUUCGAUAUAUUCAGGAAAUUCCUUUACCUUUCCUGAAAGAAAACCUGCAUGUCUGUCACCCCUCGGGAUUUGUCCUUUGAACCGGUUGUAUCAUCUU
rnacentral:lncRNA from 1 species